rnacentral:rRNA from 1 species
GACAGAGGCCUCAAGCGUUAGGCGGAAUCACUGGGCUUAAAGCGUGUGUAGGCGGAUCGUUAAGUGCCUUGUGAAAUCCCACGGCUUAACUGUGGAACGGCUGGGCAUACUGGCGGUCUUGAGCCAUCUAGGGGCGACUGGAACAAACGGUGGAGCGGUGAAAUGCGUAGAUAUCCGAAGGAACACCGGUGGCGAAAGCGGCUCACUGGGUCUUUUCUGACGCUGAUGCACGAAAGCUAGGGGAGCAAACGGG